GCAUCAGAAAAAGACCGUAUGUCUGACCAGAUAAAACGUAAAAUGAAAGAAUUGGCAAAAAAAAAUGAAAAGCACCCACAGGAGCUCUAAAUGGAUUAACCGUACUUCCGUAUAUCGACACUCGCACAAGAUUUCCAGAUAACAUAAGCACAAUAGUUUCAAACACUGCUACCAAUUGCUAACAUUGGAUCUCACUGUUACUCCAGCGAGAGAGAGAGAAACAGUUGACUG
rnacentral:lncRNA from 1 species